UACGGGGGGUGCGAGCGUUGUCCGGAAUCAUUGGGCGUAAAGAGCGUGUAGGCGGCCCGAUAAGUCCGCCGUGAAAGUCCAGGGCUCAACCCUGGAAUGCCAGUGGAAACUGUCGGGCUGGAGUCCGGAAGAGGCGAGUGGAAUUCCUGGUGUAGCGGUGGAAUGCGCAGAUAUCAGGAGGAACACCGGUGGCGAAGGCGGGUCUCUGGGCAGUAACUGACGCUGAGGAGCGAAAGCGUGGGGAGCGAACAGG
rnacentral:rRNA from 1 species